rnacentral:rRNA from 1 species
UACGGGAGGCAGCAGUAGGGAAUAUUGCACAAUGGGGGAAACCCUGAUGCAGCGACGCCGCGUGAGUGAUGAAGUAUUUCGGUACGUAAAACUCUAUCAGCAGGGAAGAUAAUGACGGUACCUGACUAAGAAGCCCCGGCUAACUACGUGCCAGCAGCCGCGGUAAU